GACGAAGGGGGCUCGCGUUGUUCGGAAUUACUGGGCGUAAAGCGAGUGUAGGUGGUUGUCCAAGUUGGAUGUGAAAGCCUUGAGCUCAACUCAAGAAAUGCAUUCAGGACUGGGUGACUAGAGGACCGGAGAGGAUAGUGGAAUUCCCAGUGUAGUGGUGAAAUACGUAGAGAUUGGGAAGAACACCAGUGGCGAAGGCGGCUAUCUGGACGGUUUCUGACACUAAGACUCGAAAGCGUGGGGAGCAAACAGG
rnacentral:rRNA from 1 species